rnacentral:misc_RNA from 1 species
UUUCCGUAGGUGAACCUGCGGAAGGAUCAUUACCUUUGGCUGCCGUGAGCUCUUCGGCGUGAGCGACAGUCAUUCUAUAGUGACGUCUCGUGUACGGGAAACCGGCGCGGGGCUGACCUAACCCUUCUCUACGAGUACCUAUUAUUCUCCUUCGGCGGGGCAACCCGCCGCUGGAACUUAAGAACCAACUUGCAUUUAGCAUUACCUGUUCUGAUAACAAUUAAUUAUUACAACUUUCAACAAUGGAUCUCUUGGCUCUGGCAUCGAUGAAGAACGCAGC